UGGGGAAUAUUGGACAAUGGGCGAAAGCCUGAUCCAGCCAUGCCGCGUGUGUGAAGAAGGUCUUCGGAUUGUAAAGCACUUUAAGUUGGGAGGAAGGGCAGUAAGCGAAUACCUUGCUGUUUUGACGUUACCGACAGAAUAAGCACCGGCUAACUCUGUGCCAGCAGCCGCGGUAAUACAGAGGGUGCAAGCGUUAAUCGGAAUUACUGGGCGUAAAGCGCGCGUAGGUGGUUCGUUAAGUUGAAUGUGAAAGCCCCGGGCUCAACCUGGGAACUGCAUCCAAAACUGGCGAGCUAGAGUAGGGCAGAGGGUGGUGGAAUUUCCUGUGUAGCGGUGAAAUGCGUAGAUAUAGGAAGGAACACCAGUGGCGAAGGCGACCACCUGGGCUCAUACUGACACUGAGGUACGAAAGCGUGGGGAGCAAACAGG
rnacentral:rRNA from 1 species